rnacentral:snRNA from 1 species
GCACUUUGGCAGCACAUAUAGGUACCAAAACCUGGAACUAGGCAGAGAUUAGCAUGGCCCCUGUGCUAGGAUGACAUGAGUUUAAAUAUCACACGGUUUCU